UACCGAGGGGGCAAGCGUUAUUCGGAAUUAUUGGGCGUAAAGGGCGCGUAGGCGGCCAUUCGAGUGACGGGUGAAAGCCCUCGGCUUAACCGAGGAACUGCCUGUCAGACUGGAUGGCUUGAGACCGGGAGAGGUGAGUGGAAUUCCCAGUGUAGCGGUGAAAUGCGUAGAUAUUGGGAGGAACACCAGUGGCGAAGGCGGCUCACUGGACCGGCAUUGACACUGAGGAGCGAAAGCCAGGGGAGCAAACGGG
rnacentral:rRNA from 1 species